CUGCCUGACGCAUAAAUAAUAUACUUUCUAUCAGACUUUUACAAUAUAUUUUCGACCCUAUUUGGAAACUACAUUUUUUUUUCGACACAGUUAAAUUCUAAUUCAGUUAUUUUUAUCUUAUUAUAGGUCCCGUCAUGCGGAAAAAAACCAGGCUUUCCCUGCAACUGCCAAAAUAUCGGAAAAACUCUACUGUCAGGCAGCAAAAGAGUUCGUCAAAUAAGGCAAUUCCAACCUUACAGACAGGAAUGAAGAGGGUAUUUUCAAAAUCGCCAUACACAGUAAAGUAUUCUCCUUCUCCAAAACGUGGGAAGGUAAAAGGGCACUCAAAGCGCACACUUUUCAGCCCAACAAAAAGUCCGUUUAAAAUAACAUACUCUCCUUCACCUAAAAAAGGGAAGACAAAACGUGCACUGUACAGUUAACACAGUCCAGCAAAAUUACAACAACAAAGAAUGAUGAAUGGCAAGUUUUUAACAGUGAUAUACCUUUGAUACAAAAUAUCGAAAAUUCCGACUUUGAAAUGAAUGUCGGCACCUUGCCAUUGUACACACAUAUGUCAAUGCAACCGGAUACUACUUCCUUAAAUACUCACCUUGGUGAUAGUCAUAAAUGUGUAACUAGCGAUGCAUCCACUUCAACAGAGAAGGGAAAUUUUGAUAAACUAACUAACGAACUCAUCAAUCUUGCCCCAUAUGUAAUGGAGGAAAUGUCUGAAUCUGAUGUAGCGAGAGGCAACAAUUUCAACUGACAGAAAUGCUCUAUGUAAAGGGGAACUUGGAAUUCGUUGGGAAAAAGCUAGAUGCAACCAGGCCAAACUUCUACCAACUGUUAAAAUGGGCA
rnacentral:lncRNA from 1 species